CAGGCCCUUGCUACACACUUGCUUCUGUCAACAUUCCAGUCAAGCUGGAAAACAGAUAUGUAGCACCAGAAUGGAUGUUAGAGGUCAGGGAAUACAAGCUCUACAUUUCAGACCAGCCAUUGGAUCGUAUUUGAGUAAUGCAAAGAAGAAGCAUUGUCACCUCCAAGUGAGAGGAAAGUAACUUUAAAAGGUCUAGAGAAAUGUGAUGUUCUAAAAGGAAGAUUAUAAGUACAGUUCACAAGUGGAACUAUCACAGACUUUCAGAUGCCUAAAACAGCACUCUAAAAGAGCUCUUACAACAACUCCCAUCAGCAACAAAAUAAGUACUAUAAGCCUCAAAGUCAUAUGAUUCAACUUGAGGAAGUACAAGAAGAUAUUUUUCAGGGUGAUCUCUUUUCUGACACUGACUUUGAACAACUCAAAUUUAAGACACAACUAUCACAGAAAAAAAGGAACCAGAUAUCAUUUUGUACCAUGUAUGAGUAUACUACACAGCAUGAUAGUACUCAAGAUGGCAUCAUGUUAUAAUGUUCAAGCAUUUCUAUUUCACAUGCAUAAGUUAUAAAAAUGACCACUUCUGCUAUAAGAAGUGGAAUAAAAAACAUGUUUUAGGAAAGUAAAAAAAAUGUAUGCAUAAGUAUAUGGGAAAAUGAUCUAUAAAACAGAAAACAAAAAAAAUAACCACCCUGGGGAUUCAAUAAACUCCGUGUAGGCUUAGCAUGAACCUACAUGGAGUUUACAUGUUUGCGCUGCGAGCAGCAGUUCUAAUUACAUAUGCAUGCUAUGCACUGUGUUUAAAUGUAAACAAGCACAGUUUCAUAAAGCAACACGGAUACCAACAGACAUGUAAACCUGUUUAUCUACGGGCAAAUUAGGUCUACGGGAUUGCACGGAAUGCCACAAAGAUUACCAGAGUCAUUAAUAAAGCAAUGUGUAUAGUUUCAAGACAUUAUGAAAGUGUAUACAGUGCAUAGUAUUGUGGAAACAUGUUUGGCAUACUGAAUUAAAGUUGUUUAAAUGAC